rnacentral:rRNA from 1 species
GACGAACGCUGGCGGCGUGCCUAAUACAUGCAAGUAGAACGCACAGUUUAUACCGUAGCUUGCUACACCAUAAACUGUGAGUUGCGAACGGGUGAGUAACGCGUAGGUAACCUGCCUGGUAGCGGGGGAUAACUAUUGGAAACGAUAGCUAAUACCGCAUAAUAUUGAUUAUUGCAUGAUAAUUGAUUGAAAGAUGCUAUUGCAUCACUACCAGAUGGACCUGCGUUGUAUUAGCUAGUAGGUGAGGUAACGGCUCACCUAGGCGACGAUACAUAGCCGACCUGAGAGGGUGAUCGGCCACACUGGGACGGAGACACGGCCCAGACGCCUACGGGAGGCAGCAGUAGGGAAUCUUCGGCAAUGGACGAAAGUCUGACCGAGCAACGCCGCGUGAGUGAAGAAGGUUUUCGGAUCGUAAAGCUCUGUUGUAAGAGAAGAACGGGUGUGAGAGUGGAAAGUUCACACUGUGACGGUAGCUUACCAGAAAGGGACGGCUAACUACGUG